UUAAUAUUUUCAGUGAAUCAUUUACAAUUGGCCAUAUGCGGCCAAUCGUUUUUGUUAGCCCAGCUAUCUAUAGGUAAUCAGAAAGCUUAUCAUCAAUUGCAUUGAAUUUAUACACAAUGCGUAGAUCUAUGACAGUAAAAAACAAAAAAUUGUGACAGCCAAAAAACUAUAGUUGUAAUUUUUAGAAAACACGCGGCCUCGGACAAUAAGCACUGUGCACAUACUUUGGCCAAAUUAAUUGAACAGACAUGUGUCUUCCAACUUGAAGCAGGGAUAACAGAUACCGAGAUAUGUAAUCAUGACAGAAGUGUACUAGAAAUACAAAACAAUUAGCUGGAAUUUCAGAGUGCUUUUCAAUGUACUUCAACUGGUUAUCUAUAAAAGUUAGUAUCAUUCGACGGGAAGUGCCAUUUCCUCAAAUGUAUCUAGUCAAGUUUCACCAAAGGCCAGCAGAAAAUUGUAAAAUUCCUUUCAGAUGUGUUGGCAUAUCCAAAUCUGAACAACAUCUGGUUGUUUUUUAAUUUGUUUUAUUCUACCUUAUAGGCAAGAGACUAAUGUUGGUUUCUUCGAACCCUUGAUUUAGACAAGUUCGGAUGACAGCAUAUUAGCGCUGAGUACAGGGUAUCUUCUAGUCGGCCAACCUCGUCUAAGGCACUCCUACUGCAGAUUUUUUUACAACCUAGGCAGACGGACAAAAAGCACGUGGAGAUUACGUUACACAAUCGUAAAGGAGAAAAGCUGCAGAGAAAAGAAAGAAAGAAAGGAAACACAAGCAUAACAAAGAAAUAUGCAAAACAGAUGAAUUGGGGAUAAAGGCGCGCACAGAAACAAAAAGAAAAAAAAUGAUGGAAAAAAAAAACUCUGAAAUCGUUAUAAAAAUUGUAACUUUAUUUUACCGCCGGGACAACUUUUAGAUAUAC